rnacentral:rRNA from 1 species
UAAGUGUGAUGUGAAAGCCCCCGGCUCAACCGCGGAGGGUCAUUGGAAACUGGGGAACUUGAGUGCAGAAGAGGAGAGUGGAAUUCCACGUGUAGCGGUGAAAUGCGUAGAGAUGUGGAGGAACACCAGUGGCGAAGGCGACUCUCUGGUCUGUAACUGACGCUGAGGAGCGAAAGCGUGGGGAGCGAACAGGAUUAGAUACCCUGGUAGUCCACGCCGUAAACGAUGAGUGCUAAGUGUUAGGGGGUCUCCGCCCCUUAGUGCUGCAGCUAACGCAUUAAGCACUCCGCCUGGCGAGUACGGUCGCAAGACUGAAACUCAAAGGAAUUGACGCGGGCCCGCACAAGCGGUGGAGCAUGUGGUCUAAUUCGAAGCAACGCGAAGAACCUUACCAGGUCUUGACAUCCUCUGACAAUCCUAGAGAUAGGACGUCCCCUUCGGGGGCAGAGUGACAGGUGGUGCAUGGUUGUCGUCAGCUCGUGUCGUGAGAUGUUGGGUUAAGUCCCGCAACGAGCGCAACCCUUGAUCUUAGUUGCCAGCAUUCAGUUGGGCACUCUAAGGUGACUGCCGGUGACAAACCGGAGGAAGGUGGGGAUGACGUCAAAUCAUCAUGCCCCUUAUGACCUGGGCUACACACGUGCUACAAUGGACAGAACAAAGGGCAGCGAAACCGCGAGGUUAAGCCAAUCCCACAAAUCUGUUCUCAGUUCGGAUCGCAGUCUGCAACUCGACUGCGUGAAGCUGGAAUCGCUAGUAAUCGCGGAUCAGCAUGCCGCGGUGAAUACGUUCCCGGGCCUUGUACACACCGC